GACGUAGGGCGCGAGCGUUGUCCGGAUUUAUUGGGCGUAAAGAGCUCGUAGGCGGCUUGUCGCGUCGGCUGUGAAAUCCCGUGGCUCAACUGCGGGUCUGCAGCCGAUACGGGCAGGCUAGAGUUCGGUAGGGGAGACUGGAAUUCCUGGUGUAGCGGUGAAAUGCGCAGAUAUCAGGAGGAACACCGGUGGCGAAGGCGGGUCUCUGGACAGUUCCUGACGCUGAGGCACGAAGGCCAGGGGAGCAAACGGG
rnacentral:rRNA from 1 species